rnacentral:rRNA from 1 species
GAUGAACGCUGGCGGCGUGCCUAAUACAUGCAAGUCGAGCGAAGAGACGAGGAGCUUGCUCCUCUGACGUUAGCGGCGGACGGGUGAGUAACACGUGGAUAACCUACCUAUAAGACUGGGAUAACUUCGGGAAACCGGAGCUAAUACCGGAUAAUAUAUUGAACCGCAUGGUUCAAUAGUGAAAGACGGUUUUGCUGUCACUUAUAGAUGGAUCCGCGCCGCAUUAGCUAGUUGGUAAGGUAUCGGCUUACCAAGGCAACGAUGCGUAGCCGACCUGAGAGGGUGAACGGCCACUCUGGAACUCGGUCACGGUCCAGACUCCUACGGGAGGCAGCAGUAGGGAAUCUUCCGCAAUGGGCGAAAGCUUGACGGAGCAACGCCGCGUGAGUGAUGAAGGUCUUCGGAUCGUAAAACUCUGUUAUUAGGGAAGAACAAAUGUGUAAGUAACUAUGCACGUCUUGACGGUACCUAAUCAGAAAGCCACGGCUAACUACGUG